GGGCAGAGUCCUAUGAAUCAACUAAGUGCCCUUUUAAAAGGGCCUCUGCCCCUUCCACCAAGUGAGGACACAGCAAGAAGUCAUGCUCUAUGAGAAAGCUGGCUCUCACCAGACACCAGAUCUGCUGGCACCUUGAUCUUGGACUUCUCAGACUUCAAAACUGCUAAAUAAUGGCUCCCAAAGAUGUGUCUACAUCCUAAUCUCCAGAAUCUGUGAAUGUUACUUUAUGUGGCAAGAGAGAGGCUGAAGGAGAUUUGGUACCAACAGAAGAGGAGGAGGAAAUUGUGAUCAUGCAGAAACUGGAGUGAUGGAGUCACAAGCCAAGGAAUGCCAGCAGCCACCAGAAGCCGAAAGAGGCCCUGCCAACACCUUGAUUUAGGCCUAAUGAAACUGAGUUUAGAUUUCUGGACCCCAGAACUGUGAAAGAAUAAAUUUCUGUUGUGUUAAGCCCCUAAUUUUGUGGUAAUGUG
rnacentral:lncRNA from 1 species